GUGCUCGCUUUGGCAGCACAUAUACUAAAAUUGGAACGAUACAGAGAAGAUUAGCAUGGCCCCUACGCAAGGACGACACGCAAAUUCGUGAAGCAUUCCAUAUUUUA
rnacentral:snRNA from 1 species